GUUCUGCAGGGGCACUGGGGGCCAGUGAGGCUGGUGGGGGGAGCCCCUCGAGCUCACAGAUGUAAGGGCGAUGUGGGGGUUUGCUUCUGGGGAAACAAGGAGUCACGUUGUUCUCUGUAAUUAUUCCGCAGUAAGCAGGAAGGAGCGGCCGGGAAUCUGCAGGGAAUACUCCUCCGCAUUGGCCUAGAUAUGGAAUAGGUGGUCUGAUUUUUCCACCUCUAAUUUGCAUAGUCCUAGAAGAUAGCAAUGAAAGAUCGGAAAGCUUCCUGUCUGUUUCAAACACAGCACUUCCAAAAUUCCCGUGCUUCUCGGCUCUGAAAACGUGGCGUGAUGCAGUGCCUCCCCAAACUGCAGGGUUAGCAGAACCUGCUGAGCCUCAGCCUCGAAACGCCGCCUUGAUCCUUUUGAACUGCGUGUAAGGUUGAUAACUGUGACUGCAGUAAUUAGUAGCAAGUCUACAGAUCUUGAUGAAGUAUGCACAAGGGGCUUGUUCCUCUGCACUGUUCUUUUACCCUCCAGAGGAAUAAAUAACUGGAGGGAAGGGAAUUGAAAAAAAGUAAUGAAGAAGGAAAUAAAAACCCAAUGCUUAUUUCAAGAGCUGACACCUAGGAAUCUGAUAGACAUUUGCAAGAUUUAAGUGUAAAGAGGCUGCAUUAAAAAAGCUACUAACAGCCUGAUAAGAACACUGCUGUGCCGCGGAGCCGGAGCAGGAGGUGCAACAAAAGAACAGAAGUCAUCGGCUGAGGGCUGGGGAAAAACGUCCAGAUUUCCACCUGGCGUUCACGUCUGUGUCACACACAAAUAAAUGGUCACAGGCACAGCUUGCUUGUCUGGGGAGGCUCAUGUUGUGAACACUGACAGCAGUCAUGUGGAUACUUUUUUCACUCCAAAUUCCCAACAUAUUUUCCAACAGAGAGCAAAGGUUCCUUCUCCUUCCCCCUCUCCCCACUCCCUCUCCCUCCUCUCUCGCCUCUCCCCAUUUGCAGAACUGGGGCUGGAAGCACCAAUCCUUUCUGCACGGAGCUCAACAACUGCGAUGGCUUUAGGCUUCUGUAAACAUGGGUCAUGGAGCUUGUCUAAUUUCUGUCAGUGAGGAUGAUGUGCUGAGCAUUGCCCUGCUGGUCAGGGACUAAUAGGGAACAUCACAUCCCAUCACUGCCAUCAAAACGAGCUCUUCUUCCUCCAGACCUUCCGGCACUGCUUAAUUUGCUCUCGUGAGAGCUGAUGAAGACCUGUUACAUUCAGUUGUUCAAAAUAAUCUGACACCCGCCAUUUUGCAUAAACUUUCUUUUUAGAAACAUCUAUUCACAGAGAAGUAAAAAAAAAAAAAAAAAGUGAUUUAGGGUAUAAACUGCACAUGCAUAAACAUGAGGUGAUCUCCAAAGUCAUGAUGCUGAUUUUAAUAUGAUAAAUACAGAUGCACGAUUAUUUGCAGAGCGCCAUUCAUUGCCGUGUUCAUUUUGUGGAUCACAUCUUCAAGCUGCGCGAAGUGGUAGAGCUCCAUUGAGGCUAGUGGCAAUUUUCACCAGCUGAGGAUGCAGUGCUCUCUGUGAGGUUUUUAGUUUGU